GAGCAGUGAGUCACCUACCUGAUGUUAUUAGACUUGUGACAACAAGAAACUAGAUGAAACCUCUCAACUGUAUCUGCUUUCCAGACCACAGAAACACAGCACAUUGAAUUUGCUUUGACUUACACAGACUGCAAAGCCUGGUCUACAGGACUGGAAAACAAAAGUGGUUUUUAAUCUGAGGGAUUCUGUAACCUCUGUUGAACUGCAAGGCUGAGCUCCUUGAUGCCUGAGCAUGUCUCAGAGGGCGUCACGGCACCUGGGAGUCUGCACCACGCACAGAUUACUCUUAUCACUUCUCUGCUAACUCAGACAUCAGAAACAGCCCAGCAGGAAACAACCACAUGCUAUAGUGAUCUGCCCAAGCGAACCAAUCUCAGCACUGGGGCAUCUGCCCCACACAGGGCUUGGCUGCUUGCCCAGAACCUGCUACUGGUAUGGCCAGGAGGAAUGAGACCAAGCUUCCUUUGCACUAACUCCUGCAUCCAUAGGGAUGAGGAGGCAGGUGAAAUGGACAAUCCCCUUCCAUGUGGGACCCUGGUAUAUGUUGCAUCCACUCGGCAUGAGAGCUCACCAGAGGCACACAAGGUACAGAUGGGCAGACCUUGGUGUUUCCAGUUUCACUUGACUGCUUGUAUUAGGUUUGCCUGGCAAGGUU
rnacentral:lncRNA from 1 species